UACGGGGGGGGCAAGCGUUUGUUCGGGAAUUACUGGGCGUAAAGGGCUCGUAGGCGGCCAACUAAGUCGGAUGUGAAAUCCCCAGGCUUAACCUGGGAACUGCAUCCGAUAUGGAUGGCUUGAAUUCGGGAGAGGGAUGCAGAAUUCCAGGUGUAGCGGUGAAAUGCGUAGAUAUCGGAAGGAACAUCAGUGGCGAAAGCGACUUCCUGGACCAAUACUGACGCUCAUGUGCGAAAAGCGUGGGGAGCAAACAGGG
rnacentral:rRNA from 1 species